AUUGAACGCUGGCGGCAGGCCUAACACAUGCAAGUCGAGCGAGCGGCGGCCGGGUGAGUAAUGUCUGGUAAACUGCCUGAUGGAGGGGGAUAACUACUGGAAACGGUAGCUAAUACCGCAUACCAUCAGAUGUGCCCAGAUGGGAUUCGCUAGUAGGGGGGGUAACGGCUCACCUAGGCGACGAACCCUAGCUGGUCUGAGAGGAUGACCAGCCACACUGGAACUGGGACACGGUCCAGACUCCUCCGGGAGGCAGCAGUGGGGAAUAGUGCACAAUGGGCGCAAGCCUGAUGCAGCCAUGCCGCGUGUGGGAAGAAGGCCUUCGGGUUGUAAAGCACGUUCAGCGGGGAGGCGUUACCCGCAGAAGAAGCACCGGCUAACUCCGUGCCAGCAGCCGCGGUAAUUC
rnacentral:rRNA from 1 species